GGAAUAUUGCGCAAUGGCCGAAAGGCUGACGCAGCGACGCCGCGUGUGGGAGGAAGCCCCUCGGGGUGUAAACCACUGUCGGAGGAGAAGAACCCUGCCAGUUCGAAUAGGCCUGGCAGCUGACGGUACCCUCAAAGGAAGCACCGGCUCACUCCGUGCCAGCAGCCGCGGUGAGACGGAGGGUGCAAGCGUUGUUCGGAAUUACUGGGCGUAAAGCGCGGGCAGGCGGCCUGUUUAGUCUUUUGUGAAAACCCGGGGCUCAACUCCGUGGAAUGCAGAAGAUACUGGCAGGCUGGAGACCAGUAGAGGCUAGCGGAAUUCCUGGUGUAGCGGUGGAAUGCGUAGAUAUCAGGAAGAACACCUGUGGCGAAGGCGGCUAGCUGGGCUGGAUCUGACGCUCAUCCGCGAAAGCGUGGGGAGCAAA
rnacentral:rRNA from 1 species